GAACGCUAGCUACAGGCUUAACACAUGCAAGUCGAGGGGCAUCAGAUCGAAAGCUUGCUUUUGAUGCUGGCGACCGGCGCACGGGUGAGUAACGCGUAUCCAACCUUCCCUAUAGUAGAGAAUAGCCCGGCGAAAGUCGGAUUAAUGCUCUAUGUUGUAUUUAGAAGACAUCUGAAGAAUACCAAAGGUUUACCGCUAUAGGAUGGGGAUGCGUCUGAUUAGGUAGUAGGCGGGGUAACGGCCCACCUAGCCGACGAUCAGUAGGGGUUCUGAGAGGAAGGUCCCCCACAUUGGAACUGAGACACGGUCCAAACUCCUACGGGAGGCAGCAGUGAGGAAUAUUGGUCAAUGGACGAAAGUCUGAACCAGCCAAGUAGCGUGCAGGAUGACGGCCCUAUGGGUUGUAAACUGCUUUUAUAUAGGGAUAAAGUCGGGGACGUGUCCCCGUUUGUAGGUACUAUAUGAAUAAGGACCGGGCUAAUUCCGUGCCAGCAGCCCGCGGUAAUACGGAAGGUCCAGGCGUUAUCCGGAUUUAUUGGGUUUAAAGGGAGCGCAGGCUGAUGAUUAAGCGUGACG
rnacentral:rRNA from 1 species